GACGAACGCUGGCGGCGUGCUUAACACAUGCAAGUCGAACGGAAAGGCCCUGCUUUUGUGGGGUGCUCGAGUGGCGAACGGGUGAGUAACACGUGAGUAACCUGCCCUUGACUUUGGGAUAACUUCAGGAAACUGGGGCUAAUACCGGAUAGGAGCUCCUGCUGCAUGGUGGGGGUUGGAAAGUUUCGGCGGUUGGGGAUGGACUCGCGGCUUAUCAGCUUGUUGGUGGGGUAGUGGCUUACCAAGGCUUUGACGGGUAGCCGGCCUGAGAUGGUGACCGGCCACAUUGGGACUGGGGUACGGCCCAGACUCCUACGGGGGGCAGCAGGGGGGAAUAUUGCACAAUGGGCGGAAGCCUGAUGCAGCAACGCCGCGUGCGGGAUGACGGCCUUCGGGUUGUAAACCGCUUUCGCCUGUGACGAAGCGUGAGUGACGGUAAUGGGUAAAGAAGCACCGGCUAACUACGUG
rnacentral:rRNA from 1 species